GAUGAACGCUGGCGGCGUGCUUAACACAUGCAAGUCGAACGGAAAGGCCAGUGCUUGCACUGGUACUCGAGUGGCGAACGGGUGAGUAACACGUGGGUGAUCUGCCCUGCACUUCGGGAUAAGCCUGGGAAACUGGGUCUAAUACCGGAUAGGACAAUGGUUUGGAUGCCGUUGUGGAAAGUUUUUUCGGUGUGGGAUGAGCUCGCGGCCUAUCAGCUUGUUGGUGGGGUAAUGGCCUACCAAGGCGUCGACGGGUAGCCGGCCUGAGAGGGUGUACGGCGACAUUGGGACUGAGAUACGGCCCAGACUCCUACGGGGGGCAGCAGUGGGGAAUAUUGCACAAUGGGCGCAAGCCUGAUGCAGCGACGCCGCGUGGGGGAUGACGGCCUUCGGGUUGUAAACUCCUUUCGCUAGGGACGAAGCGUAUUUGUGACGGUACCUGGAGAAGAAGCACCGGCUAACUACGUG
rnacentral:rRNA from 1 species